rnacentral:rRNA from 1 species
AAAGAGCUUGCUCUUAUGGGUGGCGAGUGGCGGACGGGUGAGGAAUACAUCGGAAUCUACCUUUUCGUGGGGGAUAACGUAGGGAAACUUACGCUAAUACCGCAUACGACCUUCGGGUGAAAGCAGGGGACCUUCGGGCCUUGCGCGGAUAGAUGAGCCGAUGUCGGAUUAGCUAGUUGGCGGGGUAAAGGCCCACCAAGGCGACGAUCCGUAGCUGGUCUGAGAGGAUGAUCAGCCACACUGGAACUGAGACACGGUCCAGACUCCUACGGGAGGCAGCAGUGGGGAAUAUUGGACAAUGGGCGCAAGCCUGAUCCAGCCAUACCGCGUGGGUGAAGAAGGCCUUCGGGUUGUAAAGCCCUUUUGUUGGGAAAGAAAAGCAGUCGAUUAAUACUCGGUUGUUCUGACGGUACCCAAAGAAUAAGCACCGGCUAACUUCGUGCCAGCAGCCGCGGUAAUACGAAGGGUGCAAGCGUUACUCGGAAUUACUGGGCGUAAAGCGUGCGUAGGUGGUUGUUUAAGUCUGUUGUGAAAGCCCUGGGCUCAACCUGGGAAUUGCAGUGGAUACUGGGCGACUAGAGUGUGGUAGAGGGUAGUGGAAUUCCCGGUGUAGCAGUGAAAUGCGUAGAGAUCGGGAGGAACAUCCAUGGCGAAGGCAGCUACCUGGACCAACACUGACACUGAGGCACGAAAGCGUGGGGAGC